GGGGGUGAACGGUUUCGACUUCGGUCGUCGAUUCAGGUGAAGCGGGUCGAGGAUGCCGAGGAUGACCUCGUAAACCAUGCCUCGGAAACCAAUAAGUGCCAAUUCACAGCGCACUGACUUCGCUCUCGCCGCCUAGGCAGAGUAGAAGUCCGUCAGACCGCGGGUGCUUCCGCUGCGGACCCUGGCGUCGACUAGGGAGCUUCACUCAUCGGUCCGGUCACGGGACCGGUGAGGACAUCACACAGUGACUGAGCCCGUCGGCAGCUUGCCUGCGUGACUGCCGGGGCUGAGAAAAUCACAGCAGCGCUGCACCCGGAGAAGCCCUGAUGAGCCGUCGAAGGACGCGGGUUCGAUUCCCGCCACCUCCACCA
rnacentral:tmRNA from 1 species